UCGUCACUCUGUUUGGCAUCGGUUAGGAUUUUCAGCGUGGCUGGGAGUCACAGGGUCCCACGCAUCGGUUUCAGGCUUCUUUUUGCCGUCACGGGGCCUCUGGAAGGUCUUGCGAGCCACCCCAGCUCUUCCUCCGUUUCGCCCCACCUCACACCACAUCAAUAGACAUGAUCAUCAGACUGGGCAGGCUGACUCCUGGAUAUUUUCGCCUCCUCCAGAGGCAAGUUGCCGGUGAGGUGCAGACGCAGCCACAAGACCGUGCCGUCAACCAGAUCGCCAUGAUGCUGGCCAUCAUGGGCCUGAGUUUGUCCUACUACAGUGCCAAACAGAUGACAGAGAAGGUCCAGGCCCAGCCUGCGCCCUGAAGGGACUUGACCUCUGAUGCUGGAGAUAAUGGAUGAGCCAAUGAGAAGUGAAGGCGGGUGGAGCAUGGAGGCAGAAGUGGAGAACAUGUCUUCCAGGACUGCACUUUUCUCACCUCACAGUCAUAGUCACACUCAGACACUGAAUUUCUAGGAUCCCGCUCUCACCACGCACAGAUUUCAGGGCUGAUGUUAAGUGUUUUCUAUACUUUGUGUCAUCGGGACCUUGAGGGGUUUGUCGGGGUGGCUCACUUGGGGUCAUGGGUGGGCCUGGUUUUACGGACUGGUUUGGGUGGGUAAUGAGAUCCAGCUUCUGCCAACAGGGUCUGACCAUUAGUCGUUACAAAGGUACAUGCAUGCAAGAUGCUGUCAAUACUGUUCUGAUCUACGAAAAGGGGGAAAAACUCUAAAAUAACUGUGAAUUUUGCCAUUUCUCAAAGCUUUUCCAAACAUGGUUGAUUAUAUGAACAGUAAUGCUUUAUAAGGGAAGGCUGACUGCAAUUGAGAUGUACCUUGUAACGAAGUGACGGCAGGCCCAGAGCGUAGUUAAAAGUGGAGGAAAAGUUAGCACAACCCUUUAAGGUAUUCUGUUUUUUUUUUCCCUCACAAGAUAAUAUUGCAGAGCUUUGUGAACACAUUACGAGCUACAAUCACAAGCGGCGUGUUUAUAUACUUCUGAAAUGUACCUGUCAGGUGUCGCAGAUUCACUGAAUAUUUGCACAGAAGUGCAGAAACGUUUUUAAAUACUACUAUGGAUCUGCAAAGGGACUUAAAACUACUCACCACCUUUUUUAUGGUGUUUUUUCGUCUUUGAGUUCAGACUGUUUUAACAUGAACCUAUGAAGUCCUGUUAAUAAGACAAGUGAAUCCCUGAUGAACACCCUGGUUAAGAACCCUUCCUGCAGUUCCUACUACAUCUUAACGCAAACAUUUAACUUUACUGAACAUUGCAUGGGUGUGCAGACUUUUAAUCAAAGCAAAAUUCAUGAGUCUGUCUUGUUUUUAUUGAUGAAUGAAUGUAUGACUUUGUUUUGUAAUGAUUUAAUAAAGCUGUGAAUAUUUUGAAUGA